AAUAAAUUAUUUAAUCUUAGAUAACAUGGAUGGAUGUUUUCUAUUUAUUUUCAUAAUGCUAUCAGGUUUGGUGGCUGGUGACAACAUUGAUCCAGAUAAAGAGACAGAAAUCACCACUAAGGAAGGAGAAACUGUUAAACUGAGCUGCUCAUAUAGUACCAGCAGCAAUAAUGUCUGGCUUUACUGGUACAGACAGUUUCCUAACAGAGAACCUCAGUAUUUACUACUCAAAGGUGCUCGAUCACAGAGUUAUGAACACACCUCAGAUCCUCGGUUUCAGUCAACUACAUCACAAACAUCCACUGAAUUCAAAAUGAAAGAUGUGGUUCUGUCAGAUUCAGCUCUCUAUUACUGUGCUCUAAGAGUAGGAGCACAGUGA